rnacentral:rRNA from 1 species
CACGUAGGGCGCGAGCGUUGUCCGGAAUUAUUGGGCGUAAAGAGCUCGUAGGCGGUUCGUCGCGGCGGCUGUGAAAACCUGAGGCUCAACCUCAGGCCUGCAGUCGAUACGGGCGGACUUGAGUACUGCAGGGGAGACUGGAAUUCCUGGUGUAGCGGUGAAAUGCGCAGAUAUCGGGAAGAACACCCGUGGCGAAGGCGGCUCUCUGGGACGGUACUGACGCUGAGACGCGAAAGCGUGGGGAGCGAACAGG